CUGACUGCUAUCGGAUUGAUACUAAGCCAUGCGAGUCUUUGUAGUAAUACAAGGCAGACGGCUCAGUAACACGUAGUCAACCUACCCUAUGGACGAGAAUAAUCUCGGGAAACUGAGCAUAAUUCUUAAUAGAUCAUAAUGCCUGGAAUGGUUUAUGGUUAAAAUGAUUCGUCGCCAUAGGAUGGGACUGCGGCCUAUCAGCUUGUUGGUGAGGUAAUGGCCCACCAAGGCGAUUACAGGUACGGGCUCUGAGAGGAGAAGCCCGGAGAUGGGUACUGAGACACGGACCCAGGCCCUAUGGGGCGCAGCAGGCGAGAAAACUUUGCAAUGUGCGAAAGCACGACAAGGUUAAUCCGAGUGAUUUCUGCUAAAGAAAUCUUUUGCCAGUCAUAAAACCACUGGUGAAUAAGGGGUGGGCAAGUUCUGGUGUCAGCCGCCGCGGUAAAACCAGCACCUCAAGUGGUCAGGAUGAUUAUUGGGCCUAAAGCAUCCGUAGCCGGCUUUGUUAGUUUUCGGUUAAAUCCAUGUGCUCAACGCAUGGGCUGCCGAAAAUACUGCAUGGCUAGGGAGUGGGAGAGGUAGACGGUACUCAGUAGGAAGGGGUAAAAUCCUUUGAUCUAUUGAUGACCACCUGUGGCGAAGGCGGUCUACCAGAACACGUUCGACGGUGAGGGAUGAAAGCUGGGGGAGCAAACCGGAUUAGAUACCCGGGUAGUCCCAGCUGUAAACGAUGCAGACUCGAUGAUGCAUUGGCAUAAUAGCCAGUGCAGUGUCGCAGGGAAGCCGUUAAGUCUGCCGCCUGGGAAGUACGUACGCAAGUAUGAAACUUAAAGGAAUUGGCGGGGGAGCACCACAA
rnacentral:rRNA from 1 species